UCAGGCCUAACACAUGCAAGUCGAGCGGUAACAGGGGUAGCUUGCUACCCGCUGACGAGCGGCGGACGGGUGAGUAAUGCUUAGGAAUCUGCCUGGUAGAGGGGGAUAGCCCGGGGAAACCCGGAUUAAUACCGCAUACGCCCUACGGGGGAAAGCAGGGGAUCUUCGGACCUUGCGCUAUUAGAUGAGCCUAAGUCGGAUUAGCUAGUUGGUGGGGUAAAGGCCUACCAAGGCGACGAUCCGUAGCUGGUCUGAGAGGAUGAUCAGCCACAUCGGGACUGAGACACGGCCCGAACUCCUACGGGAGGCAGCAGUGGGGAAUAUUGGACAAUGGGGGAAACCCUGAUCCAGCCAUGCCGCGUGUGUGAAGAAGGCUCUCGGGUUGUAAAGCACUUUCAGUGAGGAGGAAGGCCUUGUCGCUAAUAUCGGCAAGGAAGACGUUACUCACAG
rnacentral:rRNA from 1 species